UACGUAGGGUGCGAGCGUUAAUCGGAAUUACUGGGCGUAAAGCGUGCGCAGGCGGUUUUGUAAGCCAGAUGUGAAAGCCCCGGGCUUAACCUGGGAAUGGCAUUUGGGACUGCAAGGCUUGAGUGCGGCAGAGGAGACUGGAAUUCCUGGUGUAGCAGUGAAAUGCGUAGAUAUCAGGAGGAAUACCGAUGGCGAAGGCAGGUCUCUGGGCUGACACUGACGCUCAUGCACGAAAGCGUGGGAG
rnacentral:rRNA from 1 species